rnacentral:tmRNA from 1 species
GGGGCUGAUUUGGUUUCGACGGGAAUGGGAGAGCAUAGAUGGCAAGUCGAAUGUCCACGUUACGGGCACAAAAAAAUAAAUGCUGAAAAAGUAAAAAAUGCUAUUGCUAAUAUGUUUGGUGGAAACCAAGCUGUUAGCUAUGCCAUAUAAUUUAGAAAAGGCUAGCGCUUCUUAAUUAUUUUUACCUAGAGAUUUUUAAGAGGUUCAUUUUUAUAGGUUAUAGCUAUUUAUUGUUCGGUAAAUAGAAAGAAUUUAGAACUAGUAUAAUUUCUUGGUCGUUAACUACUUGGAAAUUAUAUGAUAAUAAUUAGUUAACUAAGCUUGUAGAAGUUUAUGUAGCUCUAUUUUCGGACAGGAGUUCGAUUCUCCUCAGUUCCACCA